rnacentral:rRNA from 1 species
UACGUAGGGGGCAAGCGUUGUCCGGAUUUAUUGGGCGUAAAUAGCUCGUAGGCGGUUUGGUAAGUCAGGUGUGAAAUCUCCACGCUCAACGUGGAGGGGCCACCUGAUACUGCCAUGACUGGAGUCCGGUAGAGGAGUGUGGAAUUCCCGGUGUAGCGGUGAAAUGCGCAGAUAUCAGGAAGAACACCCGUGGCUAAGGCGGCUCUCUAGUACGUGACUGACGCUGAGACGCGAAAGCGUGGGGAGCGAACAGG